AAAUUUAUCCAAAACUGUUGAACAGAUAUUUAAAAAUAAAAGUUCUGUUGACCAAAAUUCUCCAUUUGCUUUUCUCCUGGCAAACUUAUCAACCUUAGUUGUCAUUUUAAAUUGUACUUGUAACUUUUGCUGCUUUAACAUAUACUUUAUAUGAAAGUUUCAGUUCCCACCUCCUCUACUUCAGAGAACUACCCUUCUUCUCUUGAAUGACAUUACUUUCUUAAGUAAUAAAACAGACACACACAAACACAUAUACGAAUCCACUUCAGAGUCUUAGGAAGAAUAUAACCUUGAGGCCCCCUAUCCUGUGGGUCAGAAAUGACAGUCUGGUUGUAUCACUGUUUCUUUCUCCUUAUGGUUUAAUGAUGUGGAAUUUUCAUUUUACAUUAUAGCUGACAUUUUUAUUUUUAUAUGUUCGGAACAGGAAGAGCAAGAUCUGGAUCAACAGGGAAAUGAGGAAAACCUAUUUGAUUCUUUGACAGGCCAGCCACAUCCUGAAGAUGUACUACUGUUUGCCAUUCCAAUAUGUGCCCCUUACACCACCAUGACAAACUACAAGUAAGUUACCAUUAGUUGACAGAAUGGCUUUUGUGAAUUGUUUUGUAACGUCUAUUUAGUAACACAUGUAAUUCCUUUUUAAAGAUAUAAAGUGAAACUUACUCCUGGAGUGCAGAAAAAGGGAAAAGGUAUUUAAAUUUGUUUUUUUGAAUUAUGAUUUUAAACAGUUCAGUGACUUAACAGUAGAUUAUUCUUACUCUUUUUUGUAUUUACAGCUGCAAAAACAGCCUUGAAUAGUUUCAUGCAUUCCAAAGAAGCAACAGCAAGAGAAAAAGACUUAUUCCGCAGCGUAAAGGUAAAGUUCUCCUUCAGAAA
rnacentral:lncRNA from 1 species